GGAGGGAUCUGGCUGUACUCACCUGCACUGGGAUGUCCCGUUGUCCCAGCACCACCUGCCAAAGGGCCUGUCCUCUUCCCCUUGAAUGAAUGGUCUCGGCGACCUACCCUUUCCCCAGGCGGGUUUGUGCUCCAACCCUCCACCAGCCUGCUCACACAUCCCUCUGCCCCAGUCCUGAUACUGACUCGACUUUCUGGGUGGCAGUCCUCACCCACUCUGCCCACCCUUCUGCAGGCAGCUCAGAUCCUAGCGAUCAAGAAGUCUUUGCAAUUAAGCUCCUCUUCUCCCAUUUCUUUGUCUGUCUGUCUGCCUCUGUCAUGGUCAUUUGGUAAACCCAACCCCUUGCUGUCUCACCCCAUGGCUGUGGGCUGAGGACUACCCCGGGAUGGUCGCCCUGCUGCAUCACCCCAGUGUGCUCAUCCCCUGGACUCUGCUCUCUCAGGAGACGACCCUGUCGCCUUCUCAUUCACGACACAGGGACUCACGCCAAAGACUUCAAGAAAAGUUGCAAGAAUAACUCAAAGAAUACCAUACACCUGCUCCUGAUUCCCCAAAAGCUUCUGCCUCUCUCCAUCACACACAUUUUCUUCUGGACCGUCAAGGCCGGAACCGAGAACUGGCCCCACUGUGAACCUGAAGGCUUAUUUUGCUGACGCUCACUGGAAGGAAGUGUCUGGAGGCCUGAGAGCUUAUGCCCUGUCUCCCUGUCUCCCCUGAGGCCGCAGGACAAAGUGAGACCGAAGCCCAGGGUGGCGGGUCUGUAUGGUCGCCUCACUCCUGGAGGAAUGAGUGGCUGUCACAGAGAUGAGGACCACUGUCGCAGAGCUUGCGGGGCCUGAGAAGCAUCACCUCUAUCGUAUAGAUGGGAAAACUGAGGCCUAGGGCAAGUGUGACACAAGCCCAAAUCACAGAGCAGAGGAGCAGCACCAUGGAGCACAGAUUCCUGGACUCAGAGGGUCGCCACCACCCCACCCGGCCUCUGGGGGCCUGCCCCCAGUCCCAGCUUUUCAGUCAAAGCCCCAAGGGGUCCCACGUCCUUGGGACUGAAUGCUGGUCACACAGAAGCAGGUAGACAUGAGCUCUGCCCUCAGGGAGACGGGGUCCAGGAACACUGAGUGAGCACCACUGCAUACAGCCAGGACACCAAAGAGAUGUCAUUUCCAGUCCACAUUCAGCCAAGUGUCUCCAAGUGUUGGAAGGUGUCCUGGAGACCACAUGCCCCGUCGGAGCCACACUCCAUCAUGCACCAGCUGUGAGCCUUGAGCAAAUGAUCCACCUGAGAUGCCAUUUCCUCACCUGUAAAGUGGAGGUGACAGUGCCAAUCUUACCAGUGAGGCCCAGAGUGACCGGCAAGGGGUCUGUGCCGUGCUGCCCACCCAGGGUCCAGUGAACAGCAGCACAGCCUCCUGUCGGCUGCUCCCCAGAAGCCCCACCACCCCGUCCCAGUGCCCAUCUUCUUUGGGCCACAGGACCCCCAGGCCCAUCCCCCACCCUGGGGACAUGCCUGUGUGAUGAUGACACCAUGACUCCAGCCCAGCCCCCGGCUCUCAGGGCCAGGACGGGGGUUGGGGGAGGAGGGUCAGGCACCUCCCCACAACUAGAGAGGCUCCAGCCCACUCUGUCAACCUGCUUGUCAACCGUCUCUCUUGUCCUGUUUCUGGCUCUCUUUCAAGGUGGGAGAAAUAACUAUUAUUUUUAGGCAACCCACUAUUAUUAUUGUUGAUUGCAUCUAAUUAUAAAAGCUAUACAUUCUCAUUGUGGAUAAUUCAGAAAGUCGCAAAGAGUACACAGAAAUUUCUUUAAAGUCAUCCCCUCAAGGUAGGUUAAUUGGUUUGUGCACCUCCUGACCACCAGAACUUGUGGAGGUGAACUUAUUUUGAAAAUGUUUCUUUGCAGGUGUGAUUAAGUUAAAGAUCUCAACGUGCCCUCAUCCUGGAUUACCUGGGUGGGCCCUAAACCCGACGACAAGUGUCCUUAUAAAAGACACACAGAGAAGGAGGCAGAGGCCGCAUGACCACAGAGGUCAGAUGGAGGGAUGCCUAGGAGCUGGGAGAGGCCGGAAGGAGCCUCCCCUGGUGCCCCCGGAGGGACCCCCACCCCCACCUCGGUUUGGAUUCCAGCCUCCAGUCUGAGAGAAUGAGUUUCUCUGUUUUCAGCCACCCUGUUUGCGGUGAUUUGUUACAGUGACCCGGGGAACUGACCAAUCCUGACCCCGACCCCAGCAGUCAGGGGAGUCCUGUGGAUGAUGGGGUUAUUGUCCUCUGGUUGUGAGUCCUGGAGUGCGUGGGUGCAUGUGCAUGCAUGUGAGUGUGCCAGAGUGUGGGUGUGUUCACGGUACUGCUACACCUUACAGCAUCUUCACUUUAAAAAAUGAUUUUGGGGCACCUCCAUCACUUAAUCAUUUAAGUGUCCGACUCCUGAUAUCAGCUCAGGUCAGGGUCGUGGGAUUGGGCCCUGAGUCUGGCUCUGUGCUCAGCAGGGCGUCUGCUUGAGAUUCUCU